rnacentral:rRNA from 1 species
GAUGAACGCUAGCGAUAGGCUUAACACAUGCAAGUCGAGGGGCAGCAUGAUCUUAGCUUGCUAAGGUCGAUGGCGACCGGCGCACGGGUGCGUAACGCGUAUGCAACUUGCCUUACAGAGGGGGAUAACCCGUUGAAAGACGGACUAAAACCGCAUACACUUGUAUUAUUGCAUGAUAUUACAAGGAAAUAUUUAUAGCUGUAAGAUAGGCAUGCGUCCCAUUAGCUGGUUGGUGAGGUAACGGCUCACCAAGGCGACGAUGGGUAGGGGAACUGAGAGGUUUAUCCCCCACACUGGUACUGAGACACGGACCAGACUCCUACGGGAGGCAGCAGUGAGGAAUAUUGGUCAAUGGGCGAGAGCCUGAACCAGCCAAGUCGCGUGAAGGAAGACAGUCCUAAGGAUUGUAAACUUCUUUUAUACGGGAAUAACGGGCGAUACGAGUAUUGCAUUGAAUGUACCGUAAGAAUAAGCAUCGGCUAACUCCGUGCCAGCAGCCGCGGUAAUACGGAGGAUGCGAGCGUUAUCCGGAAUCAUUGGGUUUAAAGGGUCUGUAGGCGGGCUGGUAAGUCAGAGGUGAAAGCGCUCAGCUCAACUGAGCAACUGCCUUUGAAACUGUUGGUCUUGAAUGGUUGUGAAGUAGUUGGAAUGUGUAGUGUAGCGGUGAAAUGCUUAGAUAUUACACAGAACACCGAUAGCGAAGGCAUAUUACUAACAAUUGAUUGACGCUGAUGGACGAAAGCGUGGGGAGCGAACAGG